UACGUAGGGUCCGAGCGUUGUUCGGAAUUAUUGGGCGUAAAGGGCGCGUAGGCGGUUUGACAAGUCUGAUGUGAAAUCUAUGGGCUCAACCCAUAGCCUGCAUUAGAAACUGUCGGGCUUGAGUAUGGGAGAGGUGAGUGGAAUUUCCGGUGUAGCGGUGAAAUGCGUAGAUAUCGGAAGGAACACCUGUGGCGAAAGCGGGUCUCUGGGCAACAACUGACGCUGAGGAGCGAAAAGCGUGGGGGAGCGAACAGG
rnacentral:rRNA from 1 species